AUUACAUUUCUAGUGGCGGACGGGUGAGUAACACGUUGGAACCUGCCCCAAAGUGAGGAAUAAGCCACCGAAAGGUGGUCUAAUACUUCAUAAUAUCCAUCUCGUAUGGAUUAAAGCUUUAUGCGCUUUGGGAGGGGCCUGCGUAACAUUAGCUUGUUGGUGAGGGUUAAAAAGCUUCACCAAGGCUUCGAUGUUUAACUGGUUUGAGAGGAUGACCAGUCACACUGGGACUGAGAUACGGCCCAGACUCCUACGGGAGGCAGCAGUAAGGAAUCUUCCACAAUGGGGCAACCCUGAUGGAGCAAUACCGCGUGCAGGAUGAAGCGUUUCGGCGUGUAAACUGCUUUUAUCACCGAAGAUUAUGACUGUAGGUGAAGAAUAAGGACCGGCUAACUACGUG
rnacentral:rRNA from 1 species